rnacentral:lncRNA from 1 species
UGGAAAUAAAACUUGAAAUUUUUGUAUUGGUAUAAUUUCAAUGAUUGUCUAAUGAACUUUUGUCUGUCUGGUACCUUAUUAAUAAUGUUGACUGGAAAACAUGUGAUAAAAAUGUUUUAAGGUCCAACCAGCAUUUUAAAAAACUCUGUUAUACAACAAAAGCUCGUGAAAUAAGAUAUGAAUAUGGAUUAUUGUUGUUGGCUGCUGGUCUGAAUUGAUUUUAUCAUAUUUAUAUUCUACAUAAAAUAAACUUAAUCAUGCAAAUAUAUUUGUUUU